UACAGAGGGUGCUAGCGUUGUUCGGAAUUACUGGGCGUAAAGGGCGCGUAGGCGGUCUUUCAAGUCAGGCGUGAAAGCCCCAGGCUCAACCUGGGACGUGCGCUUGAUACUGUUAGACUAGAGAACAGGAGAGGAAAGCAGAAUUCCUAGUGUAGAGGUGAAAUUCGUAGAUAUUAGGAAGAAUACCAGUGGCGAAGGCGGCUUUCUGGACUGUCACUGACGCUGAGGCGCGAAAGCGUGGGGAGCAAACAGG
rnacentral:rRNA from 1 species